rnacentral:tRNA from 1 species
UGUCGGCGGUGGCCGGCUUCGGUGGCGGGGCGCUGCUGCUGCCGGUGUUCACCGCGCUGUUCGGCCUGCGCGCCGCCGU